UGUUUUGAUCUUCUGUCUAAAAUCGAAUGGUUUUUGGCAUUUUGUCAAGAGAAGAACCAGAGCAUUUAUUGUAUGACUGGUGAGUGUGUUAGACAGUUGCACUGCUUGCUCCUCACAGUCUUGAAGGCCUGGACUAUAAUUAAUGUGACAGUCCUUGGAAACUGCUUGGGAAGCUGAGGCAGGGGUAUCACUUGAGCCUGGGAGGUUGAGGCUGCACUUACCAUUGCUGUGUGCCUGAUGACUGGACCAGUCCAUAGUGAGAUUAUCCAUACAUUAACCGUAUUUCAUUGUGAUAUGUGAGUGACUGAUUAUUGAAUAAAAUAUAAAGCACAGGUGCGCGGGGAGAUAAGAGCUGUACAGGCUAUUCAGGAAUAUGCAUCAUCUUGAUGAUUUUUCUUCUCUCUGUAGGUGAGCCCUACUUUGGAGUCUUUUUUCCUGCUUAGGUGACACUUAGGACUGUUGCAGACUUUAGUGAUUCAGGAAAUGCCUUCUGAUCAGUGGGUGGCAGUGUUACAUAGAGGAAGGAGAAUAGGUUGUAGUAGGAAGACUUCUGGGCAAUCCCUGCUAGUAUGACUGUCCCUUAAUUCCCAGGUUCUGAACUCUGAAUUAUAAAAUCAUCUUCAGACUCACUUGGGGCUUUCUUUUAAAUAUAGAUUCCCAUAUGCUACCCUUUGGAGAUUUGGUUCAGUCAUUCUGGUAUGGGACCCCAAAACAGGGAUAUGUGUGUGUUUUUUUAACAUUCUAGAUAAUUUUGAGAGUUACCUAAAAUUAAGAACUAGUGACUUAAUCUUUCUGAGUCUCAGCUUUCAUAGGAUUGCUAUGAAUGUUAAAUGAGAAAAUAUGUCUAGAUUUUAUGAACUUUAACUCACAAUAAAAUAUAUGC
rnacentral:lncRNA from 10 species